UGCCAGCCGCCGCGGUAAUACGAAGGGGGCUAGCGUUGUUCGGAAUUACUGGGCGUAAAGCGCGCGUAGGCGGAUUAGUCAGUCAAGGGUGAAAUCCCGGGGCUCAACCCCGGAACUGCCUUUGAUACUGCAAGUCUAGAGUCCGAGAGAGGUGAGUGGAAUUCCUAGUGUAGAGGUGAAAUUCGUAGAUAUUAGGAAGAACACCAGUGGCGAAGGCGGCUCACUGGCUCGGUACUGACGCUGAGGUGCGAAAGCGUGGGGAGCAAACAGGAUUAGAUA
rnacentral:rRNA from 1 species